AGUGAACGCUGGCGGUAGGCCUAACACAUGCAAGUCGAACGGCAGCACAGUAAGAGCUUGCUCUUACGGGUGGCGAGUGGCGGACGGGUGAGGAAUACAUCGGAAUCUACUUUUUCGUGGGGGAUAACGUAGGGAAACUUACGCUAAUACCGCAUACGACCUACGGGUGAAAGCAGGGGAUCUUCGGACCUUGCGCGAUUGAAUGAGCCGAUGUCGGAUUAGCUAGUUGGCGGGGUAAAGGCCCACCAAGGCGACGAUCCGUAGCUGGUCUGAGAGGAUGAUCAGCCACACUGGAACUGAGACACGGUCCAGACUCCUACGGGAGGCAGCAGUGGGGAAUAUUGGACAAUGGGCGCAAGCCUGAUCCAGCCAUACCGCGGGGGUGAAGAAGGCCUUCGGGUUGUAAAGCCUUUUUGUUGGGAAAGAAAAGCAGCAGGUUAAUACCCCGCUGUUCUGACGGUACCCAAAGAAUAAACACCGGCUAACUUCGU
rnacentral:rRNA from 1 species